rnacentral:rRNA from 1 species
UACGAAGGGUGCAAGCGUUAAUCGGAAUUACUGGGCGUAAAGCGCGCGUAGGUGGUUCGUUAAGUUGGAUGUGAAAGCCCCGGGCUCAACCUGGGAACUGCAUCCAAAACUGGCGAGCUAGAGUACGGUAGAGGGUGGUGGAAUUUCCUGUGUAGCGGUGAAAUGCGUAGAUAUAGGAAGGAACACCAGGUGGCGAAGGCGACCCACCUGGACUGAGUACUG